UACGAAGGGGGCUAGCGUUGUUCGGAAUCACUGGGCGUAAAGCGCACGCAGGCGGAUUGAUAAGUCAGGGGUGAAAUCCCGGAGCUCAACUUCGGAAUUGCCUUUGAUACUGUCUGUCUUGAGUCCGGGAGAGGUGAGUGGAAUUCCCGGUGUAGCGGUGAAAUGCGCAGAGAUCGGGAGGAACACCCGUAGCGAAGGCGGCACUCUGGGCCGGUACUGACGCUGAGGAGCGAAAGCGUGGGGAGCAAACAGG
rnacentral:rRNA from 1 species